GUCGUUUAAUUUCAGUGGCGAUGCGCGAAUGAUCGAUUUUCGAUAUCUUUUUAGCUUUAUCUUAUUUGAAGCUGCAGUGAAGACUCGAUUAUUAAGGUGCUCAUUGCGGACACCCUGUUCAUCGAUCCUUUCGCAUGGGUUGAAAUGGCGGAUCAACCGAUACAUCGCAAAGUACGCCACGCCGCUGUUUAAUUUGUGUUUUUCUUCCUUGUCAACCCUCUCCGCUACGCAAAGAAGCGCUGUUUAGCGGCGACAGGAAUAAUGUAAACUUGGCACGUGAUUGCGAUUUUUGAGCUUUCCAAAACAGUCCAAAAUGAACUCCUUUGGGAUGUCCUUCAGCGCUCUCGUCGUAUUCUUUUUGAUGUCAUUGAUGGAGUCAAAUCGAGUCCCUUUCAUUGGAGAUUUCAGCUUUGGGAACAGCCAGAAGUCGCAAGAAGCUAUGUCUGGACUAUAAUAUGAAGGAUGUGGAACCAGAGGAAUACCGUGCUUUGCCAAAAACUGUUGCACAAGACAGGAGGAAUGAGCCGGAGCGUUGGCACAAAUUUCGCUGCCACUCUACGGAGCCCGAGUUUUUCAGUUAAAAUUUCCGCAACGAUGGUCUUCGGGAUUUUUAGCAGCUCUUCUAUUUCCCGCACGGCUAACCGGCUGUCUUGGGCAAUAGAUUUUCAAACUAGGAUUAUCUUUAUGAUCGGCUAAAGUGCUUCUAUAGCAUUGGACAAAUAAGCCCAGGCUACUUACUUGAACAAGUAAGAUUAUGUAGAAUAGAAAAUAAAAAGUGUUAAGCAUCAA